rnacentral:misc_RNA from 1 species
AAAAUAAAUAAUUCACUGAAAGCAGAAACUGCCAAAUCUUUUUUGUAGCACUCAUGCACAAGGGCAGUCCUGGAUAUUUGAUGCAGUGUAAAGUUCAAAUAGAAACACACUCCACAUAUAAGAGUGAAUAUAAGGAGAGAAACCUCUGAUGAAUUUUUAUUGAUAAAAAUUUGUCUCUAAAUUACACGUAAAUAAGGGUAUU